rnacentral:sRNA from 2 species
AAGGCCACGUUUAUCGGACAAGAUAUUCACUGACUGACAUCCGUCGAUAAAUCCACACAAUAAAACAGUACUUAUUCUUAUCAUAUCUUCCCUCUUUUUCAAUACCUUCCAUCUACCUGACUAGAUAUAGGUAGGGCUAUAGGAGCUAUCCGAAUGUUUCAUCCCCUUAUGUAAGCGGCGGGUGGAUCACCUAACUAAUACAUAGCUCCUCCGCGACUUCAUUAUCAAGCCAAAAUUUGUUUCUUCUCAACCAAGGGAUAGUUGCGCAUGGCAACCAUUAAAAAUAAAUAUAUAGAAAGAUUCUGAAGCCCAGAAAAAACUAAUGUCUACUGCGGUGGUUUACCCGCACCUAAUCUCGAGGUCAGUGUUAUGAACAACAAAUUCCCAACGUAUUGGACGCAAAUAAUUAUACCCUGCCGAUUUUCCAAUCUCCCCCUCAACACCGCUGCCAAAUUCUACCCUCCAAAAGAAAACCAUAUGCAAAAGAAACUCGGAAACCUCAUCCUGUAACUAACCACCUAACAACACGCAACCAAAACAGAAUCGGAGACCCGCUGUUCGCCGUCUUCAUCGGCACUUCAGCCGCAUACUUGCGCAUCCGCCGCGAACAUAGAGAGAAACA